AAAUGGUUUAUCAAAAUAUCAUUUAACUACAGUUAUAAUGAUGUGAGUGCACAGCUUUGUCACCCUGGCAUUGUGUAAUAGAAAUUCGACCCCAAAACUAUGAUAGUGGAUUGUUAUAAUUACAAGAAAUCUAUAACCGAAAAAUUAGUUUACCAAAUUGCAAGUACCAACACUCGCAUUUUAUUGUAUUUAAAUGCGUCAGUUUCUCUGGUUUCAUAGUGUUGUUCGCGCACCUCAUUUUGAAUAUACACAAAUCAAUAAAAUGAACGGAUACCGCCAACUAAUAAAAACCCAACAAGUAUUUGAAUUAUUUAAGCGCUACAACCGUUACUGUGGCAAAUAUCUUGGAAAUACAAGAGCGAGUAUACACUAUACUAUACCAUUAUUCUGGGUUUUUGUCGUAAUGUCACUCAAAAUCCUAUUAAAUGACAAAUACCGAUCGUGUAUCAAUUUUGUAUUGAAUGUUUCUAGAAAUAAUUACGAUGAUUGAAUCAAA